rnacentral:lncRNA from 1 species
UUACCUAAGACAGGAUAGAGGCAGCAUGGGAACAGGCACUCUUCCUGAGAACAGUCCAUUGCAAGGCCUCAUCAACUGUCUGAAGGAGAUCCUUGUGCCCAGGCCCCAGCACCGGGGAACAGUGCCAGAUUUGCCGCCUUCUCCCCCUGGCCUGAGUAUGUUGAAGCAGACCAGAGCUGAGGUAGAAGCUGAGAGCCUGCCCUGCCCGGUGAAGACAGAGGCAGCACCCGGGGAUUGUCCCCUUCAGGGCUUGCUGAACUGUCUGAAGGAGAUCCCGAAAGCUCCAGACCAGCGUCCCAGCCCCUCAGGAGCAUCAGACUUGCAGCUGCAGGAGGAUCCAGGGAAAAGGCAUUCUGGAGGGAUGAGACACCUCCAGACUCCUCCUCCCCACCCUAGUCACGGAGCUGGCAAUAUGCUUACCACGGUGAAGGUGGAGGAUGGCUGGGCCCAAAGUCCCCCAGUACCAGCAUCCUGUCAACUUGGCAGACAGGGCUACAGCUCCCACUCCAUUGGAGACAACAGAGAAGUCCGUGUGCCCCGCUGGGGCCCCAUGGCUCUAGCCAGCAGGACCUCAAGCUCACCCCUAGAAGCUCUGGAGGCCUGUCUGAAGGGCAUUCCUCCAGGUGGGUCAUCACCUCUUCAGUCACUAGCCAUCUCAUGGUCCAGAAGUCCUCAGCCAGGAGACGCUGGAUCUCAGAGGUUUGAGCUACAGCAACAAGGAUCUCACAGUGAAGAAGCUACAAGGGAGCCACUUCUGCCUCUGAGCUUGCAGGGCUAUGUGAGAGAAGGACCUGGGAUUCAAGGCUGUGGCUCUCAGGGUGCUGCCUCUACCAGCUUCUCCUCAGCCAGCAGCAGUGAUGGGGAUCUGG